rnacentral:rRNA from 1 species
UACGGGGGGAGCAAGCGUUGUCCGGAUUUACUGGGCGUAAAGGGCGCGUAGGCGGUAGCACAAGUCAGUUGUGAAAUCUCCGGGCUUAACUCGGAAAGGUCAACUGAUACUGUGCGACUAGAGUGCAGAAGGGGCAACUGGAAUUCUCGGUGUAGCGGUGAAAUGCGUAGAUAUCGAGAGGAACACCUGCGGCGAAGGCGGGUUGCUGGGCUGACACUGACGCUGAGGCGCGAAAGCCAGGGGAGCGAACGGG